GUUUGGGCACCUCACCCACCCCCAUAAUGAAACAACUUUCCGAAAUAAGAAAAAAUGUCACUCUAGUGGGGGUGUUUAAUAUAACCUUUUAAUUACUGGCUUUAAGGGACAGGAGGAGUGCUGGCCAGCACCUAGUGACUAAGGGGUUAAAUUCAGAUAGCCAGAAGAACCAACAGGAAUGAGGUGCUGAAAUUUGAAUUGUAUAAGAUUCCUUGCCUGCUUUCUUCGAGUGAGAGAGAAAAACUAGGAUUCGAGAGAGACAGAAUGGUUUCAACUCAAGCAGGACUACCAUUCCUCCAGGGAAUUUGGGGCAUGGAAGUGGACUGAACCAAGAAAAGAUUGGAAGUUGUGUAGGACACAGCAGGCCAACACCGCAGGGUGGACAGUCCAUCCACCAAGGACCAGGCAGGUGAGGAGACAGCCGAACCUUCCUUUCAGAUGCCUGAAGGCACCCUCUACCAUGAUGCGGGCCCUGCUCAUCCUGCCAUUGAAACAUCCUUUAUGGGGUCCAGGUGUCCAGUGUAUGGUUUUAUUAGCCAGGGGAGCAAGAGGAUGAAAAAGGAAUCCAGACAUUUCCUGGCUUUUCCAGUUCCCACAGAUGUCCUUUGGAGUGAGAGAUAAAAAACAUUGAGUAAAC